rnacentral:rRNA from 1 species
AACGAACGCUGGCGGCGUGCUUAACACAUGCAAGUCGAGCGGGAAAGUUUCCUUCGGGAAGCGAGUACAGCGGCAGACGGGUGAGUACGACGUAGGUAACCUACCCUCGAGACUGGGAUAACCUGUCGAAAGACGGGCUAAUACCGGAUAAGACCACAAGGGCUGCGGCCUUUGAGGUAAAAGAUGGCCUCUGCUUGCAAGCUAUCACUUGGGGAUGGGCCUGCGCGCCAUUAGCAGUUGGUGAGGUAACGGCUCACCAAGGCAAAGAUGGCUAGCUGGUCUGAGAGGAUGGCCAGCCACACUGGGACUGAGACACGGCCCAGACUCCUACGGGAGGCAGCAGUGGGGAAUAUUGCGCAAUGGGCGAAAGCCUGACGCAGCGACG